GUACACACAAAAAUUCCGAAUAAAAUACAUCAAACUAGUCUUUUAAGAUCGCCUUUUCGCUACCGGCUACACAGAGCAUCAUCAUUAUUAGUAGGUAAGAACAGUCUUUCAAGAGGAGCUUCUUAAUGCAAACCAGUUCAGAGUAUCCACCUGACAAAAUAUUACCACAUGGGGGGAGUUCAUUGCUCUACAUCCUCUAGAAGUUCACCACACUUCAGCAGUCGUGCUCAAGGCAGUAGCACAAUAAUUCAGAAUACCCUGCGUCAGUGCAAGCUUUCAAAAAAAUACAUGCAAUCAUCAAAUUUGGGCAGCCGAUGAUAGUAACCCCAUCUGUUCAGUAAGAUUAUGCAUAUGCUUUAAUUUAUCCCAAUCACUCUCCUGAACUCCAAGGAGAUCCUCUUCCACGACUAAGGAACCAAUCUCAUCUGUAUCCCCAGUGAGAGGGCUUGCAGGGGUUGCAGAGAGAAUCUGGUCCCAGAAAAUAUCAUUAAUCGCUGGAAGCUUAGGCAUACCAUCCAGCAAAACAUCCCCAUCUGUGUUAGCCGAAAAUUCAUCAGAGACAAUCGUUGUUAAAUCAUCCAAAAUACAUUUCGUUGUGUCCAUAUCUGGUACAUUUCCAGUCUCAGGCAUAUUAACGUCAGUUACUCCAAGAGUAUGAGAAAAUUCAGGCAAAUCAUGGACUGCCUGAGAGUUCAAUGCAUCAGCUUCAGGUAAUAUGGGAAUGUUGGCCUCCCCAGGAACCACAGUAGUGGUUGAUUGGGUCUCAGAUAUGAUGGAUGAACAAGAGUUGAAUGGAAAUCCAGAAUCUGAUAUCAGAUUAGGCUGUGAAGAAGUUGACAGUACUUCGGAGAGGGUAACACUGGAAAUACAACUGGAUGCACCGCUACUGCCUAGAGAAUUGUUAGGCGGGAGGGGAUUAUUAGUCAAACAGCCGCCAUUUGUGUGUAAUCGGUUGUCCAGCCUCCCAGAUGCAUUUAUUCUCAAAAUCUGCUGCAGCAACGCUUUUGCAGCUUCGGUCAUUGAAGGUUGAUACCUGACUACCUGUCCAUCUUGCAAAGCAUUGACAGGCUUGCACGCAACAUUUUCUUCAGCCUGUUCAGGAAGUCUCCUUUUCUUAUUAAGCCCAGUAAUAUGCCUGUUAUUGCCAUUCUGUUGAUGUACUAGUUGAGCUACAAAGCCAGGGCUCUGCAUGGCCUUGGCAAGGAACGACAUCAUUUGUUGUUGCCUGCUCUCCAUUAAUUGAACGCGCUGCCCAACAGUCACCAAUUGGUGAUCCGU
rnacentral:misc_RNA from 1 species